CUCUUAUCCAGAGCGGUAGAGGGACUGGCCCUUUGAAACCCGGCAACCUACAGUAAUGUAAGGUGCUAACCUGUGGCAGGAAGUGAUUUUCCUGAUCGAUGAGAG
rnacentral:ncRNA from 2 species